GAAAGUGAAGUCGCUCAGUCGUGUCUGACUCUUAGCGACCCCAUGGACUGCAGCCUACCAGGCUCCUCCGUCCAUGGGACUUCCAGGCAAGAAUACUGGAGUGGGGUGCCAUCGCCUUCUCUGAUCCAUUCUCUAACGUGUAGCUAAAAUCGCAUCAGUAUAUAUCACCGCCCUUUUCUGAAAGAUCUUGUUUCCUUCUCAACUGAUGGGAUUAAAAGAAAUAAGCAUGAAGAACUAACAUAGCUAAAGAAUGACUAACUCUAUACCCCAACAGCCGUCUUAGCAUUCCUGAAGGUGGAUCACAGAGACAAGAUAGCAUCUGAAGAGUCAGCCAUCUUCCCCUCACCUUUCCCUUUAAAAACUGUCAUAGCUGAGCAAGAAGAGUCUUCAGAGUUCAUCUCAGAAGUCCACUUUCUCCCCAGAUUGCCAGGGUUUCUGAAUAAAACAUCUUUCCUUUCCACUGACA